rnacentral:lncRNA from 1 species
AUGAAAACCACAGCCAGGAGCCCUCCCACUCCCCCCGUGGUAUCCCGGCCUCCGCUUCUCUCUUGCCCUCCUCUCGCCGUCCUGCCUGACUCAGAAGUGAGGACCGGGCAGGUGGUGGCAUCGGAGGCUGCAGAACGCCUCACCUGCCUGUGGAUCCAGGGAGCCUCCAUCCCCAGGAAGAUGCCUGGGAGAAAGGCACUCCUCCUGUCCUGCCUCUCGGCCCUGGUGCUGCUGUCCACGCUGCGGGAGGGGACCAGAGCAUCGGUGGGUGGCAGGCAGGCGGCAGAAGCUCGGGAAGUUCCAGGUGUGCAACAGAAGAUUUUCAUGCAGGAAUCAGAUGCCUCGAGUUUCCUCCAGAGGCGUGGCAGGCGGUCCCCCAAACUGCACGGUGAGGUCAACGCGGAAAACAGGCAGAAGCUGCGGGCGGAUGAGCUGCGGAGAGAAUAUUACGAGGAACAGAGGAACAAAUUCGAGAAUUUAGCGGAGGAACAAAAAGAUGGUACGAGCUCUCCUGCCAGCGUCCUGUUCCAUUCAUAUCCACGGGAGACUUGAAAGAAGGGAGGAGCUCAGAGAAGCAACUACUCUGAACCCGAGAGGAGACGGAAGAGGAGAGGCUGCUCAUGUUGCCAGUGGCUGGGGGACAGGGGCAAUGGGGGAAUUGUGCACUGCCUGUGUGGAUGUGAGGCCCUCUUCCUCUUUCCUCCUGCUUCAGGGUCACUGUGGGGGCCUCUGCUUAAGCUCCCUAACUCGUGGCUUGGCGCCAGGAGGGUUGGGCGGGCUUCAGACUCCAUAAUGGCUCUGGGCACUUCUAUACCCUGGAAAACCAAGGCCGCCCUUUACCUAUGCACCGCGAGCCAGCCAGCGAGAGAACUGAACUGAAACGCCUUGUACCCUCCCCCACUGAUACCCGAAUACUCACAUCUCCGGCCGUCCUGGGCUCCAGCUCACUGCACAGCAUCAAGCUCCCCACAAGUUUUAGCGUGGCCUCCUGAUGCCCUAACUCACCCGCCGUUAGCGCCCUCUUUAAGCCUUGGCCUUUGGUCACCUCCCAAAAGUGUGGGAACGUGAGUGCCCGUCUGACCCGGAGCUGCCACACCUGUUCCCACCCUCAGGGGUCCUGCGCGUCCUCAGGGCCUGCUGGGUGCACCAGGGCCUCUUUGCUGGGCAGCAGUGGGGAUGGGUGAAAGAAGGCUGUAGCUUUGAGCCAGUCUCCUGCUGGGUGGGGCCUGUCCUUUCUCUGCAGUGUCCCACGGAGUCACCACAGCCAACAGCCAUCGGGUGUUGAGUAGGGAUCAGACCAGCAGGCAGCGGGGGCUGUGCGGGUGCUUAUUUCCCUUUCGAUCUUUCUCCAAACUCAGGCUGAGAGGCGCCUGAGCAAAACCACCUGGUUCCACCUGGUGCUCACUAGCUCAGCAGAGCCCAGCUGGCCUCACUCCUGCUGAGUGAGGUGGCUCUUCUCCUGCCUGUAGCUCUGCUGGCCUGGGAGGAACCAAAGGAGCAGCACAUGUGUCCCUAGGGCUGGGGCCACGUCCACUGGCCUACAGGUGGCACCAGGCUGAGCCCUGCAAGCAGGUGUUGGGCUCUGGCCCUGGAAAAUCAGCCUUUCUUGGGGACAUAGUGGGAAGCACUCGGGCUGUCAUAACGUAGAAGUGAAUAACCCUAUUACAGAUUUGUUUGCCUGCGUGGACAGCUCAGGGAGAGCUGUUUCUCUCCCUCUCUCUCUCUCUCUCUCUUUUUUUGGUACCGGGGAUUAAACUCGGUUCCUUGUGCUUGCAAGGCAGGGAGCAGAACCACUGAGCCAAAUCCCCAGCCUGAGAGCUGUCUCAUUUUUAAAAACAAGAUGUGGCCUCCAAAAUUCCUACAGUGUGAGUUUUGCUCAUACUAUUCACAAUAGCUUUUUAUGUUAUGCAUUUUAAAUGUUUCAGGCCCCAGCCUUUAGCACAGGGUGGAAAGCAUUCGCUGUUUCCUUUCAAUGGGUCAGGUUAGGGAUUAGGCACACACAGGAUGACAGGUCCACUUAGAAGAUACUGAGGUCAGGGCCCCCACCCACACCGACCCAGAGGCACCCGCAGAGCAGGGCUGAGGCCUUUUGGCCAAGCACUUGCUCUGCCCGGCCCUGCACAGCACCAUCUAAUCCCUACCACCCAACCUGAAGCAGCCCUUGUACUUUCUACAGUUGGUCUCUGAAAUCUUCUCUGAGCCAGGAACUGGCCACACGGAGCGAGGACAGUGAGACGCAGCAGCCCCCACAGGUCUCUCAGGGAUCCAGACAGAAGGAGCCAAGAGGCAAGCAGGUCGGGCUCACCCGGGGUGAGGUGUUAAAGUAGGUAGUCCCCAUCUCAGUGGCCCCUGGCCCUGCCCUAGAAGGUCUGUGCUGCAGCCUGAUCACCCGAGUCCUCACCCUGGGGCCAUGCUCAAAGCACCCGUCUUCUGAGCCUUUCUCCAAGCCUCCAGCAGCUGCCUGCAGCCAGGACCCGACCGUAGCCAUAUUGCCUGAUGGAGCCAACUCAUCUGAGAAUGGUUAGUGGUAGGUAGAUGCGUGACCUCUCCCAAGUUACGCUGCACGAAAGGGUUGCCAGUCACCUCCUGCGGCCGGGUCAUACUCUGGAAGAGAGGGUGGUCCACAGAGCUGUGGAAAUGUCCAAAGGGACAGCUGUGGCUCCAGCCUGGGGAGCCAAGUACCCUACUAAGAGAUUUUCACUCCAGGCUCCCACGGGGAGGACACACUGGCAGCAGUGAAGGCGGCUCCAGAGGUGGGGCCCCUGGGGCCCUUCCCUCCACACGAGUCUGCUCCACAGGUGCCCAGGGCCACGGGGUCGUCCCACUGGGCCCCCCUCUUGGCCAAGGUCACACGGGGUGCAGGUUCACUAGCACAAAAACCAGGCUCCAUGCUGAAGUUCUCAUUUGGGAAAGGGAGCCGAGGAAGGUAUUUGUAGGUCUGUAAUCUUCAGCAUCAUCUUCUGCUAGGAUUCUCAUCCUUCCUCCCAACGUUGUUCACGAACACUUUUCUUUUUUAAAUUAGACAAAAAUAAAGAAAUUAAAGUAUCUAUACCAUACGUAUAUAAUUUGCUACUUUAACCAUUUUGAAGUUCACAAGUUG